rnacentral:lncRNA from 1 species
GACCUCCCAUUUUUGCUUCUUUUCAUCUCUCUCAAAAUUCCAACCACCACCGCCUGCCGCCGCUGGAGCAGACAACUAAAUGACCAUUGAUCUCCCUAACCAGCUCUUCUCUCUCCCCAUAUCCCUCUAUUUGGGGAACGCCGCCUUCCACCGAUGAUGCCACUAGUCCGUCGAACCAAUGAAAACCAACGCCCCGCACCACUGGCCGGCGAAAUCAACCGGCGAACCCCACUGCUCUAGCCGCGCUGCCUCUUCACCUAAAACCCUUCAUAUCUCCUCCUUACACCGCUGCCAGCUACCACUAGACAAUGAAACCAAGCCGCCAACAAAACUAGCCGCGCCUUCCGCCUCUUCUCCCUCACGCCGCCACUCCAAACUCUGUCUAAUUAACACCGAAAAAGAGUAAAGUCCAUGAUGAAUUCUCAGAAUCUGUCCUUGGUUUGUUGAUUUGUUUCAGUUUCCUUCUUCUACUCUUUUUUCUUCUCACUGAUUUUUAGAUUCGAAAUAGGCAUAGUUUGGCUUUGAAUUUUGAGUUGAUUCUUAAUAUUUCAUGUUUGUUUAUGUAUUUAGAUCUACAUACAUAAAAAAAGCCCAAUUUCUUUGAACUUCCAUUAAUCCUAGAUUUCUCUAAAUUUAGGACUGAUUUUCUAGAACUUGCUAUUCUGUCUCAAUUUCGUGAGUUUGUUCUUUAAUUUCAUAAGAUUCAAAAUUCGUGGACAUCUAUUAAUGGUUCCCUUCUAGAAUUUACGAAUUCUCGUUCCUUGAUAUUUUUAUAUUGUUAUGUGAAUUAUUCUGGUCCUUUGAUACAUUUGAUACAUUUGAAUUAGUUGUUUAGUUUCUUACACUUCACAUAUUUUCAAAUACAUCUUGAUCAGUUUGUUUCACUUUAAUUCUUUCUGAAUUAGAAUCACAGUGAGAGUGUGACUGGCUCUGAAUACCGCUUAUGGUAAGUCAAUAGAUAUAAUUUCUUGAUUAGAUCCUCUUGAUAUGGUGGUAUUUUAAUUGAUUUUGGUUGCUAAUUGAUCCCUUUCCUUUACCUUGCUUUGUUACUUGACUAUUCAUGGAAACUUUCUUCUUUGUUAUUGAUGUCUUUUCCUUUGUAACAUUUGGCAGUUUUAGUAUUUGGUUAAUUAUGAAAAGUUUGAUAUGCAGUUUUAGUACUUGGACCUUGAUUGAUUUUCUGCCUACGUGCUUAAGGAAAAUAUCCUCACUAAUUGAUUUUCUUUUCCUUUACUCCUUUAGGAUCACUUGAUUAAUUAUGGCAACUAAGUGUAAUUUUUUUUCUUUAAUUGAUUCAUUUUAUUAAAAGAAAAAGAAAUUUUCAUUACUUGAUCUUGGAAUAUCUUUGUUUCGUCUUUAUUUCCAUAAUUAAUAUUCUCAAUAUUCCCCUUUCCUUUAAUGCAUUACCACUCUUUUAUUAUAUAAACACAACCCUUUUCUUCUAUUAGGGACAACUUUUUAACUCCUAUUUUCUCUAUACAAAAAAUACCAGCUUUGAACGAUACUUCCUCUUCUCUUUAACAACUUUUCAUCCUCUACCUCUCUCUUUAACAUCUUUGAGCAUUGCACACUCUCUCUCUAGAAUACUUUAAAGUUCUCAUAAUCAAGGGAGGGAUUUUGAUUUCUAUGUGCUAUUUUAUUGAUACUACUCUCCAUUUUGUGUGCUACUUCAAAGUUCAAUUUUUCUUCUAUUAAUUUUGCUAUUAACAGGUUAGUCUCUAUCGACGUGUAUUUUAAUUCUUAUAUGGUGAUUCUUUAUAAUCUAAACUUGGAAAGCAUGCAGAUAUUCUGUAUUUGUGUUCCUUAGAAUCAUGUGGCUACCACAUGUCUACCAAAAUAUGUAUGUUUGAUUUUUUGUACUUGAAUAUUUUUGCUAUAUUUAACAGGUUCUUGGAUCAAAAGUAAGAGAAGAGUCAUUGUGGAAUUUGGGUUAUUUGGAGAUCUUCUAAUCUUAAUUUUUUUGUUAUUUAUUAUCUUGAUUUGUAAUAACUAUCGUAUAAACGCUAUGUAUGAUAAGACUAUGGGGACUGCUUAUGGGGCCCCGAGACUAUGUGAUUUGAAUAAAUUAUUUUAUCACUUAAAGCAAAAUAUUUUAGGAUUAUUAAUUAAUUUGUUUUAUCACCUAUAAAUCAUGUUUUUGAUGUAUUAAUUAAUUUUCGACAUAUAAAAUUAAGUUUGGACGAGUCAAAUGAAUUAAUAGCAUGUUUGAUUAAUUUUCGUCAUAUUAUAAUUAAGCUUCAACAUGUCUAUCUAAUUUUUCUGCAUGUUUAAAUUAAUUUUCAGCACAUAUAAAGUAUAUAUUUUCCAGCAUAUAAUUAUUUUUCAGCAUUGGAAUUUAUUUUCCAGCCCAUUUUAAAAUUAAUUUUCAGCAUUUUAAUUAGGCUUAGCAUAUUUUGGUUCAAACCGAAAAAUCAAACUGAAAUUUAAUUUGGUUUCGAUUUUUUGGUUUUUAGAUUGGUUUCGAUUUGUAAUUUUUAAAAUUCAGUUUAAAGGUUUGGGUUUUGGUUUUUCAAAAAAAUAUUUCGGUUAAACCAAAAAACUAAAAUUUUAUAAAUUAAUAUAUAAUAUAUAUAUUUUAUUAUAUAUAUUCAGUAAUUACAAUUACAGAUUCACAAUUCACAAACCACAUUAUAUACGUAAUACGCCGCAGCCAACCCUAGUCCCUAAAUCCCUAUUACCUAUGUAGGCUGCAGUUACGCCUUAUUCCACCUGCGAGUCGGCGACGGCUGACGGUGAGUGUUCCAUCGUACAAUCCACCGAAGGCCAGGCAACGAUCGAUGAGCAAGCGCGGCAACCCUAGUCCCUAAAUCCCUAUUACCUAUGCAGGCUGCAGUUACGCCUUAUUCCACUUGCGAGUCGGCGACGGCUGACGGCGAGUGUUCCUUCGUACAAUCCACCGAAGGCCAGGCAACGAUCGAUGAGCAAGCAUUCCUUCGUUCUACACUUCUACUAGUUGUGGGCUUGUGGCUAUCCACCGGAGGAG